rnacentral:misc_RNA from 1 species
AACGAGGCCGACCUGCGGCUGAGUUACCUGCGGAGGGAUCAUUAAUAAAUGUUACUUCGGUAACUUAAUUAAUCCCUAACACCUGUGCAUCUUGUCGCUUCGGCGUCAUUUUAUAAACAUCAGUGUAAUGAAUGUAACGUAUUAUAACAAAUACAACUUUCAACAAUGGAUCU